UAAAAUCGGUUAGUGAUAAGUUCCGACGUGGAAAAUAUCGUCACGCAGGGACUUCACUUUACAUGCUCUUACGCAGGCUCUUUGUCACUGCAUUUAUAAAAACACGAAUAUACGGACAUUGACAUUUAUAUUGUAUCAACUAUAUUAAUACAGUGUUGAGUUGAGAGUUAAUUUUCAAAAUUAAUCAUUUCAAACCCGUCCAGUUACAAUAAAAGUUAAUUA